rnacentral:tRNA from 1 species
GGGGAUAUAGCUCAGUUGGUAGAGUGCUUGCCUUGCAUGCAAAAGGUCCUGGGUUUAAUCCCCAGCACCACA